UACGUAGGGAGCAAGCGUUGUCCGGAAUCAUUGGGCGUAAAGCGCGCGUAGGUGGCCUCAUAAGUCCGCUGUGAAAGUCAAAGGCUCAACCUUUGAAAGCCGGUGGAUACUGUGAGGCUAGAGUACGGAAGAGGCGAGUGGAAUUCCUGGUGUAGCGGUGGAAUGCGCAGAUAUCAGGAGGAACACCAAUAGCGAAGGCAGCUCACUGGGACGUUACUGACACUGAGGCGCGAAAGCGUGGGGAGCGAACAGG
rnacentral:rRNA from 1 species